rnacentral:rRNA from 1 species
GACGAACGCUGGCGGCGUGCUUAACACAUGCAAGUCGAACGGUGAAGGGACCGGUUUUUGCUGGUUCUGGAUGAGUGGCGAACGGGUGAGUAACACGUGAGUAACCUGCCCCCUUCUUCUGGAUAACCGCAUGAAAGUGUGGCUAAUACGGGAUAUUCUGCGCCUGCUGCAUGGUGGGUGUGGGAAAGAUAUUGUUUCGGUGGGGGAUGGGCUCGCGGCCUAUCAGCUUGUUGGUGGGGUGAUGGCCUACCAAGGCGGUGACGGGUAGCCGGCCUGAGAGGGUGGACGGUCACACUGGGACUGAGACACAGCACAGACUCCUACGGGAGGCAGCAGUGGGGAAUAUUGCACAAUGGGCGCAAGCCUGAUGCAGCGACGCCGCGUGAGGGAUGGAGGCCUUCGGGUUGUAAACCUCUUUCGCCAGUGAAGCAGGCCUGUCCCUUUUGUGGGUGGGUUGACGGUAGCUGGAGAAGAAGCGCCGGCUAACUACGUG